GUCCACGCCCGUAAACGAUGAUUACUCGUUUUUGGGUUUAAUUACUCAGAGGCUAAGCGAAAGUGAUAAGUAAUCCACCUGGGGAGUACGUCCGCAAGGAUGAAACUCAAAAGGAAUUGACGGGGGCCCGCACAAGCGGAGGAUCAUGUGGUUUAAUUCGAUGAUACGCGAGGAACCUUACCAGGGCUUAAAUGGGGAUUGACCGUUUUGGAAACAGAACUUUCGCAAGACAAUUUUCAAGGUGCUGCAUGGUUGUCGU
rnacentral:rRNA from 1 species